GAUGAACGCUGGCGGCGUGCCUAAUACAUGCAAGUAGAACGCUGAAGGAGGAGCUUGCUCUUCUGGAUGAGUUGCGAACGGGUGAGUAACGCGUAGGUAACCUGCCUGGUAGCGGGGGAUAACUAUUGGAAACGAUAGCUAAUACCGCAUAACAGUAGAUAUUGCAUGAUAUCUGCUUGAAAGGUGCAAUUGCAUCACUACCAGAUGGACCUGCGUUGUAUUAGCUAGUUGGUGAGGUAACGGCUCACCAAGGCGACGAUACAUAGCCGACCUGAGAGGGUGAUCGGCCACACUGGGACUGAGACACGGCCCAGACUCCUACGGGAGGCAGCAGUAGGGAAUCUUCGGCAAUGGACGGAAGUCUGACCGAGCAACGCCGCGUGAGUGAAGAAGGUUUUCGGAUCGUAAAGCUCUGUUGUAAGAGAAGAACGAGUGUGAGAGUGGAAAGUUCACACUGUGACGGUAUCUUACCAGAAAGGGACGGCUAACUACGUGCCAGCAGCCGCGGUAAUACGUAGGUCCCGAGCGUUAUCCAGAUUUAUUGGGCGUAAAGCGAGCGCAGGCGGUUAGAUAAGUCUGAAGUUAAAGGCUGUGGCUUAACCAUAGUACGCUUUGGAAACUGUUUAACUUGAGUGCAAGAGGGGAGAGUGGAAUUCCAUGUGUAGCGGUGAAAUGCGUAGAUAUAUGGAGGAACACCGGUGGCGAAAGCGGCUCUCUGGCUUGUAACUGACGCUGAGGCUCGAAAGCGUGGGGAGCAAACAGG
rnacentral:rRNA from 1 species